rnacentral:rRNA from 1 species
UACAGAGGUCCCAAGCGUUGUUCGGAUUCAUUGGGUGUAAAGGGUGCGUAGGCGGCGCGGUAAGUCGGGUGUGAAAUCUCGGAGCUUAACUCCGAAACUGCAUUCGAUACUGCCGUGCUUGAGGACUGGAGAGGAGACUGGAAUUUACGGUGUAGCGGUGAAAUGCGUAGAUAUCGUAAGGAAGACCAGUGGCGAAGGCGGGUCUCUGGACAGUUACUGACACUGAGGCACGAAGGCCAGGGGAGCAAACGGG